rnacentral:rRNA from 1 species
CCUACGGGUGGCAGCAGUGAAGAAUAUUGGUCAAUGGGCGGAAGCCUGAACCAGCCAAGUAGCGUGCAGGAUGACGGCCCUACGGGUUGUAAACUGCUGUUAUACGGGAAUAACGCGCCUUACGUGUAGGGCUUUGCAUGUACCGGAUGAAUAAGGACCGGCUAAUUCCGUGCAAGCAGCCGCGGUAAUACGGAAGGUCCGGGCGUUAUCCGGAUUUAUUGGGUGUAAAGGGAGCGUAGGCCGCAUGUCAAGCGGGCUGUGAAAUGUCCGGGCUCAACCCGGGCCUUGCAGCGCGAACUGGCGUGCUUGAGUCCGCGGAAAGCAGGCGGAAUU